UACGUAGGGGGCAAGCGUUGUCCGGAAUCAUUGGGCGUAAAGAGCGUGUAGGCGGACUGGAAGGUCUGGUGUGAAAGCCCGGGGCUCAACCCGGAGGUCACUGGAAACCAACAGUCUUGAGUCCGGAAGAGGAGAGUGGAAUUCCUGGUGUAGCGGUGAAAUGCGCAGAUAUCAGGAGGAACACCCAUUGCGAAGGCAGCUCGCUGGGACGUUACUGACGCU
rnacentral:rRNA from 1 species